AACGAACGCUGGCGGCUUGCCUAACACAUGCAAGUCGAACGAGACCUUCGGGUCUAGUGGCGCACGGGUGCGUAACGCGUGGGAACCUGCCCUUAGGUUCGGAAUAACUCCCCGAAAGGGGUGCUAAUACCGGAUAAUGUCUUCGGACCAAAGAUUUAUCGCCUUUGGAUGGGCCCGCGUUGGAUUAGCUAGUUGGUAGGGUAAAAGCCUACCAAGGCGACGAUCCAUAGCUGGUCUGAGAUGAUGAUCAGCCACACUGGGACUGAGACACGGCCCAGACUCCUACGGGAGGCAGCAGUGGGGAAUAUUGGACAAUGGGCGAAAGCCUGAUCCAGCAAUGCCGCGUGAGUGAUGAAGGCCUUAGGGUUGUAAAGCUCUUUUACCCGGGAUGAUAAUGACAGUACCGGGAGAAUAAGCUCCGGCUAACUCCGUG
rnacentral:rRNA from 1 species